rnacentral:rRNA from 1 species
AGCGUAGGCGGUUAUGUAAGUCUAAUGUGAAAGUCUGUGGCUUAACCAUAGAAUUGCAUUGGAUACUGUGUAACUGGAGUACGGAAGAGGUAUACGGAAUUACUAGUGUAGCGGUGGAAUGCGUAGAUAUUAGUAGGAAGACCGGAGGCGAAGGCGGUAUACUGGGACGAUACUGACGCUGAGGCUCGAAAGCGUGGGGAGCAAACA